CAGCAGUUUUCUCUGUGUUUUUCACUAUACAAAGUCUAAUUUGGGACAGAAAAGAUCCAUUUUUCAUAGGAUAUAUCAGGGCACAUAUAGGAUUGACUGGAGCCCUUAGUUCAGGCAAUGAUUUAGCAGAUAAAACUACACAUGACAUAUAUGUUUUUUUCAAUACUAGAAGCAGCAACAAAUUUUCAUAAAUCCUUCCAUGUCAAUGCUAGUACUUUAAAAAAGCAUUUUAAAGUAACUAAGGAACAAGCUAGACAAAUAGUAAAACAAUAUCAAAAUUGUGUGACAUUUUUACCACACGUUAAUCUUGGAAUCAAUCCGAGAGGACUGAUACCUAAUCAUAUAUGGCAAAUGAAUGUCACACAUUUGCCAGAAUUUGGAAAAUUAAAAGAUUUGCAUGUUAAAUUUGAUACUUCUUCUAGAUAUUUGAUGGGCUCCCUUCAUGGUGGAGAAAAAUCUAAAGAUAUUAUAUCUCAUUGUUUACAAAACUUUACAACUGUGGGCAUUCCAAAACAGUUAAAAACAGAUAAUGGCCCUCUCUAUACUUCUACUUCUUUUAAGCAAUUUUGCUCAUCAUUUGGCAUUACUCAUAUAACAGGAAUUCCGUAUAAUCCACAGGGACAAGGUAUAGUUGAAAGAGCUCAACAAACUAUUAAAAUGUACUUACUAAAAC
rnacentral:lncRNA from 1 species